GACUGUUUAUUUUCUGUAUCUCUAUUUGUUCACAUCAGCAGAUUUUUUAGUUCUCUUAUCGCAGUUGUAUGCAUCACACAGUACGUAUUCCCACGUGGGUGUACGUAGCCUCAGCAGUCAAUCAGAGGUUACGCAGGUCACGUUCAGCGUGUCGACACAGAGACAAGGCGCGGGUGCAGCUUCUUCCUGUUUUUUCUCAAAUCAUAGCCAGACAGACGGGGGUAGCUGUGUGCUAGCAAGGAGACAAAACCAGGACAAAAUUUUGAAGGUUGCCUUAAAAAAAAGGAAAAAAGAAAGAGUCGGAGCACAUUUCACCCAAGAUCCGGAGUCGUGUUAUAGAACAAAGGAGAGAAGUUACGUCGGCUAACCUCUUGCCCUUUUGUCUGGGAAGUUGCCACGAAGUCCAUCAUCGUCGUGUUACACUUUGAUAUACCCGGAGCAACGGUCAGGUUUUUUUUUUUAGGACGGAUGUUGUCCAGAACCAACAUCUUGCUGAUUUCGAUGGCGAGCCAAGUCCACUGAGGAAAGUCCAGCACCGAUUUCCCUAUUCACCCCCACAUAAUACUUACCUUACAAGUAUCUUUGGAACAAGGUGAACUGCACAACCUCUACAGCAAAUACACCGGAAACUAUUUUUUAAAUUUUUGUUUAAGGGCCCGACGGACAUUCUUUUAUUUUCUAGUGUGCACACUACUACUUUUAUUUUUGUAACUUUUGGGGGUUAUUCCACAUUUUGUACAAACCGAACAGGUCAACUGUCAAGUGUAAACAAUAUAAGAGUGGCUACUCAACUGUUACUCUUGUGUCUGCCUUAUUUUUGAUGCUCAGUACCGUGGCUCCUGUCGAAUUUGGUAUCUUCUGAUUCUGGUCCAGGGUCCAUUACUAGUAGAGGCUAUUAUUAUACUGUAAUUCACUUUUAUAUCGUUAAAAUUGGUUACAUUUGCUACUGUGUCUCCUCAAUCUCAGAGUCUUUGAUUAUUCCCUGUCUAAAGUUGUCUUUGUUUUUGUCAGUCAUCUGUCCUGUCCGAUCCGGUCCUGUCCUGUCCUGUUCUGUCCUGUGCGGUCCUGUCCAUCUGGCUGUGGACUGGCUUCACCUCAAUACUAUCAGAGCUCUGGUCAUUAUCUUCUCAGUGUCUUCACCUCUCUGGUCAACCGUCAUCUGGGGCUGGACUCAGUCUCCUCUCAGCCUGACUACUGUCUGGACUGUGUUCACUUCUCUCAUCUAGUCUACCUGUUUCUUAAAUAAAGCUGUUGACACUCA